rnacentral:rRNA from 1 species
AAUGAACGCUGGCGGCAUGCCUAACACAUGCAAGUCGAACGAAGGCUUCGGCCUUAGUGGCGCACGGGUGCGUAACGCGUGGGAAUCUGCCCUUGGGUUCGGAAUAACAGUUAGAAAUGACUGCUAAUACCGGAUGAUGUCGUAAGACCAAAGAUUUAUCGCCCAAGGAUGAGCCCGCGUAGGAUUAGCUAGUUGGUGAGGUAAAAGCUCACCAAGGCGACGAUCCUUAGCUGGUCUGAGAGGAUGAUCAGCCACACUGGGACUGAGACACGGCCCAGACUCCUACGGGAGGCAGCAGUGGGGAAUAUUGGACAAUGGGCGAAAGCCUGAUCCAGCAAUGCCGCGUGAGUGAUGAAGGCCUUAGGGUUGUAAAGCUCUUUUACCCGGGAUGAUAAUGACAGUACCGGGAGAAUAAGCUCCGGCUAACUUCGUGCCAGCCGCCGCGGUAACAC